GGAAUGUGGCUUUGGCCUCACGGUGAGUAGGUCUUCUUUAGUGGGGCUGAGUCAGGUACCACAUGGCUCAGUUCCUGCUGGUACCGAGAUGUCAGGAAUCUCAGUGUGCCUGAGGUGAAACACAAAGAUUCCAGCGUUGGGCUGGCCUCGCCAGAUUCCUGAUCCUCUGACUCACAGCGUGACGUUGCACAGGCUGCUGCCCCUCUCCAACCUCAGUUCCCUCAUGUGGACCACCGAGGUGACAAAAGUCCCCACAACACUGGGUCAUCACGAACUAUGUGAGAUCACGUGUACGAAGCACUUAGUAGGUGUCUGUCGACACCAGCCACCUAGCGCACAGUACUGAGUAAGUACUCAGUAAUUGAUCUUUGCAAUGACAACAGUCAUUAUCAGCAGGGUAACAAUUUUGAGGAACCCAUCAGAGCCACAGAAUCCAGCUCGGUUUGGUUUGGGGAAACGUCUGAGCCCCAGAGUUCACCUGCCCUCAGGCCUCGCAGCCCAUCUCAAGGUCAAAGUGAAAUGUCGUGGGUCAAAGAGAAAGAAAAAGAAACUGCACGGAGAAGGGCAACGAGCGAUUAGAUCCAUGCCUCACAGCCACUAUUUUCGAAACACUUGCUAGGCUGUGAACAAAGCAGAGUUCCUGACCUCCAUCCAACAUGCGGGGGAGACAGACAAUAAGCAAAUAAGCAGAGAGAACUACAUCGGGUGUCAGGUGGUGAGCAGAGCGAUGAAGAAAUAUGAAGCCGCGUAAAACAAUGGAGAGUGACAGGGUGUGGGCGUAGGCGCUCCUCGUAGGUAAGGUCAUCGGAGGAGGGCUUCUGGAGCACGACACUGGAGCAGAGACCUCGGCAAAGCGAGAAUCUCUGAGAGCCCAUCCUUCUGAGGAUUUGAGGCUAAACUGGUUUGACACUAAGAUACUAAUCUGCGUUGUGUACGAUUCUAGAAUUCCACGACUCUAAGAACCUCUAACUAAAAUUACACAUUUCUACUGUUCUCGCCUCCCAUGAAAAUGAUUCUAGAAUUUUGUGAUUCUGAAAUGUUAGGAUUCACUGAAGCAUCUUUUUGCUUGAAUAGACCAGGAUUCAUUGCCUACCCUCUCCCCGCUACCCCCAGGAAAUGGAGCUGAAAAUAGAAACCGUCAAAACAACAAGCCAUUCCAGCUCUAAGUGCCAUAGUAAACAAAUGGUCCAAUGUUGCUCUGAUGGUUUAAUUGCAGCAGCUCCAGACAAGCCCAUUCAUGAGGGAUCAUCAGUUGAUGGAGAGGAGGAGUGAGCCCCUUGGGAGAAGGGGUGGCUUGCGGCCGGCCCUGGGGUGGGGCAGGUCUGUACCAGCAGCCAACGUUCUGGAUGUCUCCCUCUGGCCCCUUUGGCUUUGGGGAUCAAGAUGGUGGACAUUUUGACGAGGAGUGUCAAGAGAGGCCUCUCUGAGGAGGUAGCAUGAAAGCCGCACCUGAGGACUGAUAGGAUGCCAGGUUCACAGCCAGGGGGGAGAACAGUCCCAGGUAGAGAGAACAGCAGAUUCAAAGGGCGAGAGAGCUUGGCUGGUUCCCAAAGCAAUUGGAGGACAGGAAAAUGAGAUGAGAUCAGAAGGGCAGGAAGGGGCUGGAUCCUACAGGGGUUUGUCGGCUAGGAUUGGGAACGUGGAAGCUACUGGAAGGUUUUAAACAGUGAGUGAUGUAAUGUAAUUCCAUAUUUAAAAGAUCCUGGGUGCUCUAAGUACAGUGGACUAUGGGGGGGUGGGGCAUGAGUGGAAGCUGGAAGGCCAGUAAGAGACUGCGGUGUUUGUCCCCGGAAGGAGUGGCAGCGGCUUGGAUCUACAUGGUAGCAGGUGGAUCCAUCUGUUCACCCAUCCCUUCUUUCUGCCCUCCCUUCCUCAUCCCUUCAUCCAUCCAUUCAUUAACCGAACACUUAUUAACUGUCUAUGGGGAGCCAGGCACAAUGCUGAGCUUAUAAGGACGAAUUAAACGUGGUUUCCGACCGCAAGGAGCUCACAGAACGGCAGGUCCCUGACCCUGCAAUGUAACGGUAACGAAUGUCCCAGUGCAAAGUACCCUGCGGGCUCAUGGGAUGUGAUUCACUGAGCCUGGGAUGUUGGAAAAGGCCUCGUGGAGGACAUGUUGGUGUUUGAGAUGUUGGAAGGUCUGAGAUGUUGGAGGGGCAGCUCGGGGAAGGGUGAGGAGGCAGCACGAGUGAGUGUCCUGCAAAUAUGUGGCUGUCCAGGUUGGUGGGAUCAACGACCAGGUGCGUGGAGGGACACCACGGGAAAGGGGUUCUGGGCCAGCUUGGGGAGGGGUGGGGACACAUGCCUGUGACUUCCUGCUCAGCUCCGCCUGCCCCUACCGGAGCGGAGUAAUUUAAUUAAGUACCAGCCCUUAAACAAGAUGCAGCUGUUUAGCAGAUGUUGCCUUUCACCCCAGAUGGAGGCACAUCUUGGCAACGGGCACAGCGUUUCCAGGGCGCUUAAUUUGUAAGGCUGCGGAGAGGAAAGAAAUUCAAGAUGCGGCCAUUAUUAUUUAAUGGCCAUCAUUCAUGACACACACCCCCGCCCCCCCAGCACCACGGCCACAUGGCCACCAUUCCUGUUGGCUCGGACUGGAGACAGAGGCAGGCCCCCGGGGAGGGUGAUUUGCUGGUUCUCACUCAGAGAACAAGAGAAGAAAAGCGGAGGAAAAGGUCACCAAUCUGCAGAACCCCCAAGAACGUUUAUAGUUUAAAUUUCCAAGGGCAAGGAUUUUUGUCUGUUUUAUUCCUUGCCAGCUCUCCAAUAUGCACAAGAAUGCCUGACUCAAGACAGAAUCCUAUAAAUAUUUGUUCAAUGGGUAGAGAAAUGAUCAAUGGAUCUCACCGAACUUAUAAAAAGAUUGUCAGGGAGACAAAAUUACUCUCCCAAGAGUUACACAGCCGGCAAGGGGUGAGUUGGGAUUUGAGUUUGGGUCUGUCCCUUUCCUAGGGACUUUUCCUUCUCCGUAGCACUUAUCACCACUUAUGUAUUAUUUCUGGGCCUGUGUUUGGCAUCUCUCUCCUCUCCCACCGGAAUGGGGGCUCCAGUGAGAACAGAGUUCAUGUGUUUUGCUCAUAGUUGUCUCCCCAGCACCCAGACAGCACUCCCCAGCACCCAGGAAGCAGCUCAUAAAUAUACACUGAGUGACACUUCAUUCUCGCAAGCAAUCCUGCAAAGUAUGUUUCCUCUGUGCUAUUUUACACAUGGGGACAUUGAGGCUCAACCAGAGAAGUGAUUUGCCUUGCUUAAGGUCAUCUGGCUAAUGAAUACAGAGCUGGGAUUUGAACCCAGGCCUCCUGAGCUCAUUGGUCAUGGAGAAGGGGACCCCCAUUUAACGCUUGCUGGUUCGACCCACCCAAAGGCAACAGCUGCUUGGCCGAAAGCUCCACUCACAACCUACCAGGGAAGGCAUUUCCCCCUCAAGGUCAGCAGUGUCAGGGCCGAUGUGAAACUCACCCUUAAUGCACAACUCCCCAGUUUCGUCCAUUUAAGUGAAAACUUUGAUGUUAUUUUAACCCAAAUCCCCCGUUGACUUCAAUGGAAGCUUUGAAUCCACGAGGAAGGUCAGACAGUGUUUUUGGAGGUAACAUGGGCACCCAAUGGAAAUCAUAUUAGCAUACUCAUUAUCAUCAGGGCCCUUUGAAUGUGUUUUUUAGCUGCUCCCUUAAAGUUGACUUGGUGACAAUGGAUCCUUUCUGUUCAGGAAUCACUGGGCCAGAGUGGAGCUGCGGUCGGCUCCUGUGUGCUUUUCUGUGCUUUUCAAAUGAUGACAGUGAACCCAUGUUGCAUAAGGAAAAUGUUCAAACUACGGAAAAGUGCAGAGAAUCGUACGACGACCCCACUGCCUGAUAUCAGCCUCAUCAAUCAGCAACACGGAGUCCCUCCGGUGUGAGGGGGUUUAAGAAUCCCUAAUUUCAGCAGGACACGUGGCAGCCCAGAAUGAAGAUUACACUUCCCUGCUUUCUUCCCGAAUCCUAGCCAUGCUGGACCAUGUGAUGAAUUAAAGAUGGCUACUGAUUCUUUGGUCCUUCUUCCUUCAAGAGGAAGAGUUUGUUUGGACUUCCCCUCCUCUUAAAUCUGGGCUUGCCUGUGACUUAUUGGACCAACAGAAUACAGUGGAAAUGAUGCUCUGCCAAUUCCGGACUUUGCCCUUAAGGAUACUGGCGGAUUCUGCCAUGGUCUCUUGGAUCCAUGGCUGCCAAGGAAAAGGUCAAACCACUCUGCUGGAGAGACCCCCCUGGAGAAGCCCUAAGACCUCACGGAAAGGAAUCAGGGACCCGGCUGAGCUCAGCACUGCGGUCUUCCCAAACCAUCUUGGUCCUCCAGAUGAAACCAAUCAUCAGCUGAACGCGGCCAAGUGACUAGUCAACGCCCAUGGAUCAGAAGGACCGCCCAGCUGAGCCCUGGCCGAAUUUCAGACCCACAAAACUGUAGAAAAUAAUAAACAUGAUUAUUGUUUGGGGAGUGUCUGUUGGGUACCAAUACAUAACCAGAACAGACCAUGAGAUAGAAGGUAUUUGUUGAGGAUGCUGUAACAAUUACACCAUCUGGAGGUCUGGCCGCCUCCGGAUAUUUUGUCCUACACGAAAAGUAGACUCUGUUUGUUUAGGCUUUGAUGAUACCUUGGGUCGUGGCUCAUGGCCUCAGUUUCCCCCCAAUUAUUCAUUGGAGCAUUAACGCCUGCCCUGUUGCCUCCUUUUGCAUGUAAUACAAACAGUGCAUAUCCAAAAAGACCAUGGGGCGUGCUCAAGUCGUUAUGAUACAUUUCAUGUGUCGGUAAUCAGAUAGGAACUUGUCAGGAGGCCAACUGCAAUGGGUUUUGGAAUCAGAUAUGUUGGGACUGGAGGCUCAACUCUGCUACUUUCUAAUGUGAAAAAUCGGACCAGCCACUGAAUCUCUCUGAGCUUUGUUUCCUCAUCAAUAAAAAACAGACGAUGCCUA